rnacentral:rRNA from 1 species
AUUGAACGCUGGCGGCAGGCCUAACACAUGCAAGUCGAACGAGUGGCGGACGGGUGUGUAAUGUCUGGGAAACUGCCUGAUUGAGGGGUAUCACUACUGGAAACGGUAGCUAAUACCGCAUACCAUCGGAUGUCCCCAGAUGGGUUUCGCUAGUAGGGGGGGUAAAGGCUCACCUAGGCUACACUCCCUAGCUGGUCUGAGAGGAUGACAAGCUACACGGGAACUGAGACACGGUCCAGACUCCUACGGGAGGCAGCAGUGGGGAAUAUUGAACAAUGGGCGCAAGCCUGAUGCAGCCAUGCCGCGUGUAUGAAGAAGGCCUUCGGGUUGUAAAGUACUUUCAGCGGGGAGGCGUUACCCGCAGAAGAAGCACCGGCUAACUCCGUGCCAGCAGCCGCGGUAAUUC